CAGAGUUCAUGCCCUUACGGGUAGAUCUCCCACCCUUGAAUAUAUACCUUUGUUGCUUUGGCGGGUCGCAUCGUCCACUGGCUUUUGCUAGUGAGUGCCCGCCAGAGAACCCUAAAUUCUGAAUUAAAGUGUCGUCUGAGUAUUAUAUAAUAGUUA
rnacentral:misc_RNA from 1 species